CGGGGUGCAGCAGGCGCGAAAACUUUACAAUGCGGGAAACCGUGAUAAGGGGACACCGAGUGCCAGCAUCAUAUGCUGGCUGUCCAGGUGUGUAAACUACACCUGUUAGCAAGGGCCGGGCAAGACCGGUGCCAGCCGCCGCGGUAACACCGGCGGCCCGAGUGGUGAUCGUGAUUAUUGGGUCUAAAGGGUCCGUAGCCGGUUUGGUCAGUCCUCCGGGAAAUCUGACGGCUCAACCGUUAGGCUUUCGGGGGAUACUGCCAGGCUUGGAACCGGGAGAGGUAAGAGGUACUACAGGGGUAGGAGUGAAAUCUUGUAAUCCCUGUGGGACCACCUGUGGCGAAGGCGUCUUACCAGAACGGGUUCGACGGUGAGGGACGAAAGCUGGGGGCACGAACCGGAUUAGAUACCCGGGUAGUCCCAGCCGUAAACGAUGCUCGCUAGGUGUCAGGCAUGGCGCGACCGUGUCUGGUGCCGCAGGGAAGCCGUGAAGCGAGCCACCUGGGAAGUACGGCCGCAAGGCUGAAACUUAAAGGAAUUGGCGGGGGAGCACAAGGGCGAAUUCGCGG
rnacentral:rRNA from 1 species